CAACCAGCAAAACCGAAGCUAUUGGAAAACUUUCCUGUGUGCCAAAGCGAGAGAGCAUGUCUUCUUUCUCUAGAUUUUGGACAGCACAACGCCGAUCGUGUGGCCUAUGAACGAAAAACGGGAGAAGGGGAAACCGAUAUCCUUCGAGUGACACACACGCAUGCAUCUGCAUGCGUAUUCCGCUGAACCGAGACUACACAUCUCUCUCGAUCUCCCAUGAUUUUUCUGCUAUCGCGUUCAUCCGGGUGUUUGGCAUCCUCAGUCUGUCCAGAACUUUCACUGUGGAAGGAUGUGCUGGAGUGAUGUGUGAUUUCUUGUGCCCCGCACUUUGCUCGAUUACGUCUUGUGCCGUGUUCCUUCUUCUUCAUUUAUGGAAUGAUUUAUCCUUGUAAAUUUCUAAGUUACAGUGCACGCGCAUGUUAAUCGACGGUUGCCAACAUCCCGCAAAACGAUCGACGGAAGGAAAACGGUGUCCGGUUUUAAAAUAUAAAGAUUUCAUUAUAGCUCUUUCGUAGAAGAGCGCACUUCAAGGACGCCUAGGAUACGGCUAAACAUGCGCAGCACCAGUCCGUGACGUCAUUUCCAGACAGGCGCCGGCUGAACACGCGCCGCACCAGUCGAGGAUAUCCUAGCGCAGAGGGUAGAAGGAAGAACGAGAGGAAGGGUAAUAGAAAGCAACCGCAGCAUUUGGAAGGGGUGAAGCAUCCUGCCGUAUAUAGAGUGUGAGUGUGCCAAAACGCAUGUGGAAAGAGUAACACCAAUAAAUAGCAUGCGAAAAUGUGCAUAAAGCAAAAAGAA